GCCGGGCGCGGUGGUGCGUGCCUGUGGUCCCAGCUACUUGGGAGGCUGAGGCUGGAGGAUCGCUUGAGCCCAGGAGUUCUGGGCUGUAGUGACCUAUGCCAAUCGGGUGUCCGCACUAAGUUCGGCAUCAAUAUGGUGACCUCCCGGGAGCGGGGGGCCACCGGGUUGCCUAAGGAGGGGUGAACCGGCCCAGGUCGGAGACAGAGCAGGUCAAUAACUCUUCCCAGACUUAUUUUAUCAGAAGACCGAUAAGUCUUCUCAUAGAACAUUUAAAAAUAAUAUUUAACCAGAAUUUU
rnacentral:SRP_RNA from 1 species